AACCAGCACCUCAAGUGGUCAGGAUGAUUAUUGGGCCUAAAGCAUCCGUAGCCGGCUCUGUAAGUUUUCGGUUAAAUCUGUACGCUCAACGUACAGGCUGCCGGGAAUACUGCAGAGCUAGGGAGUGGGAGAAGUAGACGGUACUCGGUAGGAAGUGGUAAAAUGCUUUGAUCUAUCGAUGACCACCUGUGGCGAAGGCGGUCUACUAGAACACGUCCGACGGUGAGGGAUGAAAGCUGGGGGAGCGAACCGG
rnacentral:rRNA from 1 species